AAGUCGUAACAAGGUUUCCGUAGGUGAACCUGCGGAAGGAUCAUUAAUAAAUUUUGGGUUAAUUUUUUGGGGUUUUUAUAAACUCUAAAAAAUAAUUCACCUUUUGUGCAUUGUUAUUAAGAUAUACUUUGGUUAGAGCUUUGAUUCCAUGAAUAUUGGAAUUAACUUCUUGCUAACUCUAUCCUUAUUGUAAGGACAGUUGGCUAUGAAGCAUGCCUACCAAGGUUUUUUAUCAAACUCUUUGUAUUUUGUCUGACCUAAAUAUAAAUAAUAAUUAAAUUUAAAUCAUAACUUUCAACAACGGAUCUCUUGGCUCUC
rnacentral:misc_RNA from 1 species